UACGGAGGGGGCUAGCGUUGUUCGGAAUUACUGGGCGUAAAGCGCGCGUAGGCGGACCUGCAAGUCGGGGGUGAAAGCCCGAGGCUCAACCUCGGAACUGCCUUCGAUACUGCGGGUCUCGAGUCCGGGAGAGGUGAGUGGAAUUCCUAGUGUAGAGGUGAAAUUCGUAGAUAUUAGGAAGAACACCAGUGGCGAAGGCGGCUCUCUGGGACGGUACUGACGCUGAGACGCGAAAGCAUGGGGAGCGAACAGG
rnacentral:rRNA from 1 species